rnacentral:rRNA from 1 species
CCUACGGGAGGCAGCAGUGAGGAAUAUUGGUCAAUGGACGAGAGUCUGAACCAGCCAAGUAGCGUGAAGGAUGACUGCCCUAUGGGUUGUAAACUUCUUUUAUAAAGGAAUAAAACGAGGCACGUGUGCCUUUUUGCAUGUACUUUAUGAAUAAGGAUCGGCUAACUCCGUGCCAGCAGCCGCGGUAAUACGGAGGAUCCGAGCGUUAUCCGGAUUUGUUGGGUUUAAAGGGAGCGUAGAUGGGUUGUUAAGUCAGUUGUGAAAGUGUGCGGCUCAACCGUAAAAUUGCAAUUGAUACUGGCAGUCUUGAGUACAGUUGAGGUAGGCGGAAUUCGUGGUGUAGCGGUGAAAUGCUUAGAUAUCACGAAGAACUCCGAUUGCGAAGGCAGCUUACUAAACUGCCACUGACAUUGAUGCUCGAAAGUGUGGGUAUCAAACAGGAUUAGAUACCCGUGUAGUC